AUAUGGCGAUGGCACAAAUCUCCCAAAUGGCGGGGAACGUGCCUCUGGAGCCGCCCUUCUGAUACCUGAUACCUGAUAAGUUCGGAAGACGCUACGUUUGCUAAAAAUAUUUAUCACUGCUUCCUGCUGUUCUGCCUGGAAUGUCAAUAAUUCGCAAUAGCUGAAGUGAGAGCCCAUUCCCACAUAGUCCGUUCCACAGUUUUUCAAUAGGACAGCUUGCAAAUCUUCCCAGAAUCCAACGUUGAAAAUGAUCCGUGUUCCAUCGGGGAAAUUGGACCCAAAACCUAGCCGGAUCUUUUUCACCGCUGUUACCAAUUACCACCACGCAUUGAUUGUCGAUUUUCCCGCAGCAUCAAAAGCAAUUUUUCAAUAGGACAGCUUGCAAACCUUCCCAGAAUCCAAUGUUGAAAAUGAUCCGUGUUCCAUCGGAGGAGAUUGGACACAAAACCUAGCCGGAUCUUUUUCACCGCUGUUACCAAAUUACCACCACGCAUUGAUAGCCGAUUUUCCCGCAGCAUCGAACAGGCAUAGUUCCGCUUUCUAUAAGGGAUGGUACACAAAUUAUGUCACGCUAAAUUUCAACUUUUUCGACCCCCCCCCCUUUGUCACACUUUUUGUAUGAGUCCACCGAAAAUUUUGCCCCCCCCCCCCUUGGAGCGUGACGUAAUUUGUGCAUGACCCCUAAGCUGUAUCUGAAUAUGCUGUCGAUUGUGGAUCCAUGUUUGGGUCAUAUGACUUUGAAAGACAUCAGCCUCAUUGCCCGUGAUGGAAUCUGUAGCAAAUGCUUUCAACAGAGUGCUGUAAUUUUGUCCAAAAUCAUCAUGGGACGUGCUUAUUUGUGAUAAUAGCUAUUUAAUUUACUUUUUAGGCAACACA